UACGUAGGGGGCGAGCGUUGUCUGGAUUUAUUGGGCGUAAAGAGCGUGUAGGCGGUUCGGUAAGUCUGUCGUGAAAUCCUGAGGCUCAACCUUGGACGUGCGAUGGAUACUGCCGGGCUAGAGGAUGGUAGAGGCGAGUGGAAUUCUCGGUGUAGCGGUGAAAUGCGCAGAUAUCGGGAGGAACACCAGUAGCGAAGGCGGCUCGCUGGGCCAUUCCUGACGCUGAGACGCGAAGGCUAGGGGAGCGAACAGG
rnacentral:rRNA from 1 species